rfam:Micromonas sp. RCC299 mitochondrion, complete genome.
AAACAUAUGAGUUUGAUCCUGGCUCAGAAUGAACGCUUGCGAUAGGCUUAACACAUGCAAGUUGAACAAAAGUACAUUGCUUUUGUAGCGAACGGGUGCGUAAUGUGUAGGAAUUUACCUUUUUAAAAGAGUGAAAUGCUUUGAGAAAACAUGUUGUUGUAAAAAGAUAAGCCUACAUAAGAUUAGAUAGUUGGUGUGGGAAGGGCGCACCAAGUCGAAGAUCUUUAGCUGAUCUUAGCGGAUGAUCAGCCACACUGGGACUGAGACACGGCCCAGGCUCCCAUGGGAGACAGCAGUGAGGAAUCAUGGACAAUGCACGAAAGUGUGAUCCUGCUAUAUCGCGUGAGUGAUGAAGGGUAUAUUGCUUGUAAAACUCUUUCAGCAAGAACAUGCUUGCAUGUAUAUGGAUAGUGACGUGUCUUGCAGAAGAAGCCCCGGCUAAUAUCUGUGCCAGCAGCCGCGGUAAUACAGAAGGGGCAAGUGUUAUUCGGAAUAAUUGGGCGUAAAUGGCGUGUAGGUUGUGUUUCGUAGCUUUUUGUUAAAUCCUUAUUGGUAUGAUAAGUAAAGCGAAAAGAACAGUUACACUGGAGACUGAGAGGGGAAAGGGGAAUUUCUAGUGGAGAAGUUAAAUUCUUAGAUAUUAGAAGGAACACCGAAAGCGAAAGCACCUUUCUGGCUCAGAUCUGACACUGAGGCGCGAAGGCGUGGGGAGCGAAGCCGAUUAGAUACCGGCGUAGUCCACGCAGUCAACGAUGCUGUAUUCCUUUUUGGAAAGCGGAAAAUGUAACGGUUGUAUGUAUGCUUUAAAAGCAUACAUACAACUCAUUU